rnacentral:lncRNA from 1 species
AAGUGCAGUGUUCAGACCAAGUUCUGUCAUGUUAUUUGUGCUAGUAUUUGAGUGUUAUAUAAACAUUUUGGACAAUUGUUUCUGAAGUUUCCAUUGUUAUUUUUGGGUUUAUUCAUUUACAAAGGCUAUAGACAAAUCUCUGGCAUAUGUGUACAUAGUUAUCAAUCAACUGUGCAGUAGCAUGCAACUUAAAAAAGUUAUUUAUCUAUUUAUUGUUGGCUGCCCUGGGUCUUCAUUGCUACAUGCCAGCUUUCUCUAGUUGUGGCAAGCAGGGGCUACCCUUCAUUGUGGUGCAUGGGCUUUGCAGUGCAGUGACUUCUCUGUUGUGAAGCAUGGGCUCUAGGGACACUGGGCUCAGUCACUGUGGCACAUGGGUCUAGCUGCCCCACAGCCUAUGGAAUCUUCCUGGGCCAGGGGUUGAACCCAUGUUUCCUGAAUUGGCAAGUGGAUUCUUAGCCACUAGACCGCCAGGGAAGUCCCCCUUAUUACUUUUGUAAAGAAUUCGCUUCUAUUUGACCCAAUCAGAUGGAAUAUAUUUUAUUACAUAUAGUUCUCUUCUCUGGCCCUUGCCAGAGAUCAGGGUUUCUCUCACAAAAGGGAACAGUUGUCUAUGCCUUGUUUUUCACAGUGCAGUCCAUACCACAAGCAAUGACAUCACCAGUCUAUACCACAAGCAAUGACACCACAGCAGAAUAUCAGGCUCCACUUUAGACCUACUGAAUUGGAAUUGACAUUUUAACAAGAUUCCCCAGGUCCAAAGUGUCCAUAGGCUUUGGAGAAGCAAACAAUGAUGGUGAAAGACAUUCUGGAAGGAAGGAUCAGAAGCAGCAAGGCUUGUAGUAAUUAUAGGCCCUUGGUCAUUGAUCUGGAUAUGAUAUGGUUUCAGGUAUGAUGAAAAUGAAAGAGAGUGAAAAAGUUGGCUUAAAGAUCAACAUUCAGAAAACUAAGAUCAUGGCAUCUGGUCCCAUCACUUCAUGGCAAAUAGAUGGGGAAACAGUAGAAACAGUGGCUGACUAUUUUUGGGGUGCUCCAAAAUCACUGCAGAUGGUGACUGCAGCCAUGAAAUGAAAAGGCGCUUACUCCUUGGAAGAAAAGUUAUGACCAACCUAGACAGCAUAUUAAAAAGCAGAGACAUUAUUUUGUCAACAAAUGUCUGUCUAGUCAAGGCUAUGGUUUUUCCAAUAAUCAUGUAUGGAUGUGAGAGUUGGACUAUAAAGAAAGCUGAGCACUGAAGAAUUGAUGCUUUUGAACUGUGGUGUUGGAGAAGACUCUUGAGAAUCACUUGGACGGCAAGGAGAUCCAACGAGUCCAUCCUAAAGGAAAUCAGUCCUGAAUAUUCAUUGGAAGGACUGAUGCUGAAGCUGAAACU